GAUGAACGCUGGCGGCGUGCCUAAUACAUGCCAGUCGAGCGAACAGACGAGGAGCUUGCUCCUCUGACGUUAGCGGCGGACGGGUGAGUAACACGUGGAUAACCUACCUAUAAGACUGGGAUAACUUCGGGAAACCGGAGCUAAUACCGGAUAAUAUAUUGAACCGCAUGGUUCAAUAGUGAAAGACGGUUUUGCUGUCACUUAUAGAUGGAUCCGCGCCGCAUUAGCUAGUUGGUAAGGUAACGGCUUACCAAGGCGACGAUGCGUAGCCGACCUGAGAGGGUGAUCGGCCUCACUGGAACUGAGACACGGUCCAGACUCCUACGGGAGGCAGCAGUAGGGAAUCUUCCGCAAUGGGCGAAAGCCUGACGGAGCAACGCCGCGUGAGUGAUGAAGGUCUUCGGAUCGUAAAACUCUGUUAUUAGGGAAGAACAAAUGUGUAAGUAACUAUGCACGUCUUGACGGUACCUAAUCAGAAAGCCACGGCUAACUACGUG
rnacentral:rRNA from 1 species